UACGGAGGGGGCUGGCGUUUGUUCGGAAUUACUGGGCGUAAAGCGCGCGUAGGCGGACCUGCAAGUCGGGGGUGAAAGCCCGAGGCUCAACCUCGGAACUGCCUUCGAUACUGCGGGUCUCGAGUCCGGGAGAGGUGAGUGGAAUUCCUAGUGUAGAGGUGAAAUUCGUAGAUAUUAGGAAGAACACCAGUGGCGAAGGCGGCUCACUGGCCCGGUACUGACGCUGAGGCGGCGAAAAGCGUGGGGAGC
rnacentral:rRNA from 1 species